GCCGAAGUGGUGGAACUGGUAGACGCGCAGGCUUCAGGUGCCUGUGAGGGAUUCCUCGUGGGGGUUCGAGUCCCCCCUCCGGCA
rnacentral:tRNA from 1 species